ACUCCUACGGGAGGCAGCAGUGGGGAAUAUUGCACAAUGGGGGGAAACCCUGAUGCAGCCAUGCCGCGUGUGUGAAGAAGGCCUUCGGGUUGUAAAGCACUUUCAGUAGGGAGGAAGGUAGUGUAGUUAACACCUGCACUAUUUGACGUUACCUACAGAAGAAGCACCGGCUAACUCCGUGCCAGCAGCCGCGGUAAUACGGAGGGUGCGAGCGUUAAUCGGAAUUACUGGGCGUAAAGCGCAUGCAGGCGGCCUGUUAAGUCAGAUGUGAAAGCCCGGGGCUUAACCUCGGAAUUGCAUUUGAAACUGGCAGGCUAGAGUCUUGUAGAGGGGGGUAGAAUUUCAGGUGUAGCGGUGAAAUGCGUAGAGAUCUGAAGGAAUACCAGUGGCGAAGGCGGCCCCCUGGACAAAGACUGACGCUCAGAUGCGAAAGCGUGGGGAGCAAAACAGGAUUAGAUACCCUGGUAGCACAAG
rnacentral:rRNA from 1 species